rnacentral:misc_RNA from 1 species
GAUGAAGAACGUAGCGAAAUGCGAUACGUAAUGUGAAUUGCAGAAUUCAGUGAAUCAUCGAAUCUUUGAACGCACAUUGCGCCCGCCAGCACUCUGGCGGGCAUGCCUGUUCGAGCGUCAUUUCAACCAUCAAGCCCCAGGCUUGCGUUGGGGCCCUGCGGCUGCCGCAGCCUCCUAAAAGCAGUGGCGGGCUCGCUAUCACACCGAGUGCAGUAGAUUACUCUUCGCUCAGGGCGUGCAGCGGGUUCCGGCCGUGAAACCCCCUACUUUUAAAGGUUGACCUCGGAUCAGGUAGGAAUACCCGCUGAACUUAAGCAUAUCAAUAAGCGGAGGA